CAGGCAGGGAGGUGGGACCAUG
rnacentral:miRNA from 1 species